rnacentral:rRNA from 1 species
AUAGCGUAUAUUUAAGUUGUUGCAGUUAAAAAGCUCGUAGUUGGAUCUUGGGUCGGGGGGAGCGGUCCGCCCCUUCGUGGGUGUGCACUGGUCCCACCCGACCUUGUUUCUGCCGGGGACGCGCUCCUGGCCUUCGCUGGUCGGGACGCGGAGUCGGCGACGUUACUUUGAAAAAAUUAGAGUGCUCAAAGCAAGCCUAUGCUCUGAAUACAUUAGCAUGGAAUAACGCGAUAGGACUCUGGUCCUUUUGUGUUGGUCUUCGGGACCGGAGUAAUGAUUAAUAGGGAUAGUUGGGGGCAUUAGUAUUCAGUUGCUAGAGGUGAAAUUCUUGGAUUUACUGAAGACUAACUACUG